UACGUAGGGUGCAAGCGUUAAUCGGAAUUACUGGGCGUAAAGCGUGAGCAGGCGGUUUUGUAAGUCUGACGUGAAAUCCCCGGGCUCAACCUGGGAAUUGCGUUGGAGACUGCAAGGCUAGAAUCUGGCAGAGGGGGGUAGAAUUCCACGUGUAGCAGUGAAAUGCGUAGAGAUGUGGAGGAACACCGAUGGCGAAGGCAGCCCCCUGGGUCAAGAUUGACGCUCAUGCACGAAAGCGUGGGGAGCAAACAGG
rnacentral:rRNA from 1 species